rnacentral:rRNA from 1 species
UACGUAGGGUGCAAGCGUUGUCCGGAAUUAUUGGGCGUAAAGAGCUCGUAGGCGGUCUGUCGCGUCUGCUGUGAAAACUCAGGGCUUAACCCUGAGCUUGCAGUGGGUACGGGCAGACUAGAGUGCGGUAGGGGGAGACUGGAAUUCCUGGUGUAGCGGUGAAAUGCGCAGAUAUCAGGAGGGAACACCCGGUGGGCGAAAGG